rnacentral:rRNA from 1 species
CCUGAUGGAGGGGGAUAACUACUGGAAACGGUAGCUAAUACCGCAUAACGUCGCAAGACCAAAGAGGGGGACCUUCGGGCCUCUUGCCAUCGGAUGUGCCCAGAUGGGAUUAGCUAGUAGGUGGGGUAACGGCUCACCUAGGCGACGAUCCCUAGCUGGUCUGAGAGGAUGACCAGCCACACUGGAACUGAGACACGGUCCAGACUCCUACGGGAGGCAGCAGUGGGGAAUAUUGCACAAUGGGCGCAAGCCUGAUGCAGCCAUGCCGCGUGUAUGAAGAAGGCCUUCGGGUUGUAAAGUACUUUCAGCGGGGAGGAAGGGAGUAAAGUUAAUACCUUUGCUCAUUGACGUUACCCGCAGAAGAAGCACCGGCUAACUCCGUGCCAGCAGCCGCGGUAAUACGGAGGGUGCAAGCGUUAAUCGGAAUUACUGGGCGUAAAGCGCACGCAGGCGGUUUGUUAAGUCAGAUGUGAAAUCCCCCGG